UUUUAUAUAGUUUAAUAAAAACAUUUUAUUUUCAUUAAAAAAAUGACUUACCACAGUAUAUAAAAA
rnacentral:tRNA from 1 species